CAAUAGCGUAUAUUAAAGUUGUUGCAGUUAAAAAGCUCGUAGUUGGAUUUCGGGGCAGCCUGGCUGGUCCGCCGCAAGGCGAGUACUGGUCAGCCGCCCUUCCUCUCGAAAGCCCCGACUGCUCUUUAUUGCAGUGGUCGGGUAGUUCGGGACGUUUACUUUGAAAAAAUUAGAGUGUUCAAGGCAAGCCUACGCCUGAAUACAUUAGCAUGGAAUAAUGGAAGAGGACCUCGGUCCUAUUUUGUUGGUUUCCAGGACCGAAGUAAUGAUUAAGAGGGACAGUUGGGGGCAUUCGUAUUUAAUUGUCAGAGGUGAAAUUCUCGGAUUUAUGAAAGACGAACAACUGCGAAAGCAUUUGCCAAGGAUGUUUUCAUUAA
rnacentral:rRNA from 1 species